rnacentral:rRNA from 1 species
GACGAACGCUGGCGGCAUGCUUAACACAUGCCAGUCGAAGGGGAAGGCCCUGUUUUUGCGUGGCACCCGAGUCGCAAAGGGGAGUAAAACAUGAGGGUAUCCCCCCCUGGACUGGGGUAUAACUGCGGAACACUGGGCAAAACCCGGGAAAGUAGUGCCGCUGCCUGGGUGUGGGUUGAAAGGAUUCGCCGGUGGGGGGCGGACCGUUGGGUUAUCAGAUUGUUGGUGGGGUGGCGGCUCACAAAGGCUUUAAGGGGUCGCCGGGGUGGGAGGGUGACCGGCGACAUUGGGACUGAGAUACGGCCCAGACUCCUACGGGAGGGGGCAGUGGGGAAUAUUGUACACUGGGCGGAAGCCUGAUGCAGCAACGCCGCGUGCGGGAUGACGGCGUUCGGGGUGUGAACCGCUUUCGCCGGUGACGAGGCGUGAGUGACGGUAAUGGGUAAAGAAGCACCGGCUAACUACGUG